CAGUCGCCGCGGGAAUACGAAGGGGGCUAGCGUUGCUCGGAAUCACUGGGCGUAGAGGGUGCGUAGGCGGGUCUUUAAGUCAGGGGUGAAAUCCUGGAGCUCAACUCCAGAACUGCCUUUGAUACUGAAGAUCUUGAGUUCGGGAGAGGUGAGUGGAACUGCGAGUGUAGAGGUGAAAUUCGUAGAUAUUCCCAAGAACACCAGUGGCGAAGGCGGCUCACUGGCCCGAUACUGACGCUGAGGCACGAAAGCGUGGGGAGCAAACAGGAUUAGAGACCCCAGUAGUCCCUGUCUCUUAUAC
rnacentral:rRNA from 1 species